ACGCUCGACACCUACGAGGCAGCAGUGGGGAAUAUUGCACAAUGGGGGAAACCCUGAUGCAGCGACGCCGCGUGGAGGAAGAAGGUCUUCGGAUUGUAAACUCCUGUUGUUGGGGAAAAAGAGGAUGGUACCCAACAAGGAAGUGACGGCUAACUACGUGCAGCAGCCGCGGUAAUCUGAGCGGGCUGGCAAGGC
rnacentral:rRNA from 1 species